rnacentral:misc_RNA from 1 species
UGACCUCACAGGCAAAACCACACGGAACCCUUGAAAGUAUAUAACAAUUAGGAAGAUCAACACUGUUGCAAGAAGAUUCGUCACAUUUGGAAGAUUCUGCCGGUAAAAUGCUUCACGAAGGGCACGGACCUUGUCUGUACGAGUAAUCAGCAGAUGGAAUAAAGCAAUAACAGCACCUUCAAAUUCAGCGCCUCUGCCACUGUUGAUGGUGGUUGGACUAAAUGCUUUCCAGAUAAUGUUCUCACAGAUAUUGGUUGCUAUGAAAAGUGAGAUUCCAGAGCCCAGGCCAUAUCCUUUCUGGAGAAGUUCAUCCAAACAGAUCACAAUAAUCCCAGCAAAGCAAAGCUGAAUGAUAAUUAGAAUGGCAUUUCCCACUCCAAGUUGGCUAACACUACCAUACAUUCCCGAGAGAACGUAAGCCACUGCUUCACCAACAGCUAUCAGGAUGCCCAAUAAUUUCUGAGCACCAUUUAAUAGAGCACGGUCUUCACGUACAUUGUUGUCCACUUCAAUGAUCUUUGACCCAGCAAGAAGUUGCAUCACUAAACCAGAUGUUACAAUUGGAGUGAUACCAAGCUCCAUAACAGUCCCACGGUUUGAAGCAAGAAUAACACGCAUCCAAUAGAAAGGAUCCGCACCAGUUGUGGAAUGAAUGCCAUACAAUGGAAGUUGACUACAUACCAAAAAAAUGAAAAGGGAGAUCACAGUGUAUAUGACCUUCUCACGAAAGGGAACUUUCCUGUCAGCACUCUGAACUUCGGGAAGAAAUGAGAGAAAUGGUCUCACAAGAUGAAGAACUCUAAAUCCACCUCCCAUCUUAUUAAUACGUACCUAAACAAAUUCAACCGUAGAGAAUCGAUAACGCAGAGAAACAAAAGGAGGUAAAAAAAAUGUGUGCAGAGAUCAAACACUUAAAAAGGGUUGAUCCGAAGCCGGAGGGACGUUUCCCGAUUAGGGCAUUUGUAGUGUAAACGAAGUCAAACCAAUAAGGGACACGUUUUGAGAAGGAAGUGACGUGGACAAAAAUAUCGGGUGCGAGGAAAUGUUUGACCAGAUUUUUCCUUUUUU